UACAGAGGUCUCAAGCGUUUGUUCGGAUUCAUUGGGCGUAAAGGGUGCGUAGGCGGCGCGGUAAGUCGGGUGUGAAAUCUCGGAGCUUAACUCCGAAACUGCAUUCGAUACUGCCGUGCUUGAGGACUGGAGAGGAGACUGGAAUUUACGGUGUAGCGGUGAAAAUGCGUAGAUAUCGUAAGGAAGACCAGUGGCGAAGGCGGGGUCUCUGGACAGUUCCUGACGCUGAGGCACGAAGGUCAGGGGGAGCAAAACGGGG
rnacentral:rRNA from 1 species